rnacentral:rRNA from 1 species
GGGCCCGCACAAGCGGCGGAGCAUGCGGCUUAAUUCGAUGCAACGCGAAGAACCUUACCUGGGCUUGACAUAUAGGGAAAUCUCAUAGAGAUAUGAGGUCCGCAAGGGUCCUAUACAGGUGGUGCAUGGCUGUCGUCAGCUCGUGUCGUGAGAUGUUGGGUUAAGUCCCGCAACGAGCGCAACCCUCGUCCUAUGUUGCCAGCGGAUAAUGCCGGGGACUCAUAGGAGACUGCCGGGGUCAACUCGGAGGAAGGUGGGGAUGACGUCAAGUCAUCAUGCCCCUUAUGUCCAGGGCUGCACGCAUGCUACAAUGGCCGGUACAAUGGGCUGCGAUACCGCAAGGUGGAGCGAAUCCCAAAAAGCCGGUCUCAGUUCGGAUUGGGGUCUGCAACUCGACCCCAUGAAGUCGGAGUCGCUAGUAAUCGCAGAUCAGCAACGCUGCGGUGAAUACGUUCCCGGGCCUUGUACACACCGCCCGUCACGUCACGAAAGUCGGUAACACCCGAAGCCGGUGGC